UACAGAGGUCCCAAGCGUUGUUCGGAUUCAUUGGGCGUAAAGGGUGCGUAGGCGGCGCGGGAAGUCGGGUGUGAAAUCUCGGAGCUUAACUCCGAAACUGCAUUCGAUACUGCCGUGCUUGAGGACUGGAGAGGAGACUGGAAUUUACGGUGUAGCGGUGAAAUGCGCAGAUAUCAGGAGGAACACCAAUUGCGAAGGCAGCUCGCUGGGACGUUACUGACGCUGAGACACGAAAGCGUGGGGAGCAAACAGG
rnacentral:rRNA from 1 species